CGCAUGUUUGAUCCUGGCUCAGAUUGAACGCUGGCGGCAUGCCUUACACAUGCAAGUCGAACGGCAGCGCGGGAGCAAUCCUGGCGGCGAGUGGCGAACGGGUGAGUAAUACAUCGGAACGUGCCCAAUCGUGGGGGAUAACGCAGCGAAAGCUGUGCUAAUACCGCAUAAGAUCUACGGAUGAAAGCAGGGGAUCGCAAGACCUUGCGCGAAUGGAGCGGCCGAUGGCAGAUUAGGUAGUUGGUGAGGUAAAGGCUCACCAAGCCUUCGAUCUGUAGCUGGUCUGAGAGGACGACCAGCCACACUGGGACUGAGACACGGCCCAGACUCCUACGGGAGGCAGCAGUGGGGAAUUUUGGACAAUGGGCGCAAGCCUGAUCCAGCCAUGCCGCGUGCAGGAUGAAGGCCUUCGGGUUGUAAACUGCUUUUGUACGGAACGAAAAGUCUCUUUCUAAUAAAGAGGGAUCAUGACGGUACCGUAAGAAUAAGCACCGGCUAACUACGUGCCAGCAGCCGCGGUAAUACGUAGGGUGCAAGCGUUAAUCGGAAUUACUGGGCGUAAAGCGUGCGCAGGCGGUUAUGUAAGACAGUUGUGAAAUCCCCGGGCUCAACCUGGGAACUGCAUCUGUGACUGCAUAGCUAGAGUACGGUAGAGGGGGAUGGAAUUCCGCGUGUAGCAGUGAAAUGCGUAGAUAUGCGGAGGAACACCGAUGGCGAAGGCAAUCCCCUGGACCUGUACUGACGCUCAUGCACGAAAGCGUGGGGAGCAAACAGGAUUAGAUACCCUGGUAGUCCACGCCCUAAACGAUGUCAACUGGUUGUUGGGUCUUCACUGACUCAGUAACGAAGCUAACGCGUGAAGUUGACCGUAUUCUAU
rnacentral:rRNA from 1 species